UUAUAAGAGACAGCAGUAGCCACGGGAAUACGGAGGGUGCAAGCGUUAAUCGGAAUUACUGGGCGUAAAGCGCACGCAGGCGGUCUGUCAAGUCAGAUGUGAAAUCCCCGGGCUUAACCUGGGAACUGCAUUUGAAACUGGCAGGCUAGAGUCUUGUAGAGGGGGGUAGAAUUCCAGGUGUAGCGGUGAAAUGCGUAGAGAUCUGGAGGAAUACCGGUGGCGAAGGCGGCCCCCUGGACAAAGACUGACGCUCAGGUGCGAAAGCGUGGGGAGCAAACAGGAUUAGAUACCCCAGUAGUCCCUGUCUCUUAUAC
rnacentral:rRNA from 1 species